UUUUUAUUUAAAACUGAAUUAGAUGGAGCCUCAAAAAUAAUCCGCCGCGUUCACUCUCAAUUCAAGCGCGCAGCCACAUUCUCUCUGGCCUUCACCUCCUCCGUCCUCAGCCACAUUCCCUCUUUCCACAUUCUCUCUCGACGUUGCCCCUUCCGCUCACUUCCUCCGCCCCAAUCGCUACCUCACCGCUCUCAAGCACGAUUGCGCUUGCCUCGACGAUUCCGUCAUCGUCUCUGUGCAGCCGUCGUGUUCUCUCUCAUCCUUGCGUGCAACCUCUCAGCCACGGCCCUCCGAGACCGGAGAAACAACGGAGAACGUUAUCCUUGCGUUUCGUCUUGCGGAGGGUAACAGACAUGCAAAUGUGUUAAGUCCGGAACUUGUCACCUCGCUGAAAGACGAAUUCUAUAUAUUGGAAUGCUCAUACCUUUGCCCUCACUGAAUCAGGGAAGCUGUAUGCAUUUGGAGCUGGAGAUAAAGGACAACUGAGAAUUGAGCUUGUAGCUAACCAAACUGAAAGGGGAAAUCCAGAAAGGGUUGAAAUUGAUCUCGGUUAAUUGUUCGUGCCUUAAUUCUUUGCUUGUCAUCUAAUUUAUGGUCAUGCAUAGCAUUUAGUAUUUAAAUUCCUUGUCUAUUUUGUAAAUAUAAUCAAAGAAUGCAUCCCGAAGGUCCAAGGUAGGUAAAAGCUAACAAGGGUCUUACUACUGUGGUUGUUGAUAUCAUCACUCUUAGGCUUCAUCUGGUUGUUGAUAGUUGAUACAUUGGUGAAGGUUCAUUUAUAGUUUAGUUGAAACAUUUUGUUAAAUUUAGCAUUCAUUUAUCAUCAAAAUCAUCAUUGUU